ensembl:snoRNA small nucleolar RNA SNORA2/SNORA34 family
CUGGCCCUGAAUCAAGGCCGGCAGCUUCCUGAUGCUGUUGAUCUCAAGCAAGAGUCUAAAGAGAUGUCUUUCUAUGGUCUGUUGGCCAUUUCAGAACUUGGGCAGUGAAAUGGUCAAGUCAUUAGAAACAAACAGCU